ensembl:lncRNA LINC02790 long intergenic non-protein coding RNA 2790
AUGUGAGCUUGAGAAGGAAUCAGAUUCUGCAUAUAUUUCCAAGUUAACAUGAACAAGAUUUUCUGAAAGACUGCUAUGGAGUCUGAGAAAAAAUGUCAAAGGUAGUGCCAAAAUUGUCACUUAAAGAACUGCAGGAAUGGAGUUGGCAUUUACAGAAUUUGGAAGAGAAGCAGGUUUAGUGAUAAAGACCAGAAGCACAGAGCUAAGCAUAUUAAAUAUUGAGGACAUGAAGAGGAAAGAACUGACAGAGGAGGUGAAGAAAGGUGAUCAGGAAGAGCCAUCAAAGUGUUAUCCUGGAAUUCAAGUGAAGACAGUGUUUCAAAGUGGAAAUGAACAGUGUCCUGUAACCCUCAGAGUGAGACUAGAGUCAGAAUGCAGGCUUUUCUCAUUUGAAAUCUGUAAGUCCAGGUCCUUACCUCCACCUAAAAGUUCUGCCAUCAAGGAACAUCUGCUCAUUAUCUUCUGUUCACACAUCAAAUGACUUCAAUGUGAUCCCUGGAUGUUCUCCAAAGAGCUGAAGGGAAAUAAAUAUUCUUUCUUUAUCACCAAAUACUUCAACUGCAGAGUGAUUGUGCUACCAAGGCCUGAAACUUCGGAAAAACCUGCAUAACACAAAAUAUAAAAAGACUGUGAAAUUGAAGCCUCUGACAUCUCACUCCAGCAUCCCACCUGGCAUGUAGAUGUGAUUCCAUGAAUGUGCAUUGGCUAAAUGUUGAAAGAAUGAAAGAACAAAUGAUAGCUUGAUUAAGCAAAUGAAUGAAUGUCUCUCUUUCAUACUGAGAGAACGGUAGAUGAGGGCUUAGCUUUCUCCUUUCCUGAAGCAAGCCUAUUGGAGAAGUGUGGCUGGCUCAUGCAAAGGGUGAUGGAGGGGCAACUGAUCUGCUCUGACAUGUUUCAAUUUAAGCUUAUCUUUCCCUCACUCCUUUCCUGUAAGUCUAUCUUCUUGGCUAUGGGAUUUUUAUUGAAUUUCUGAUAUGUGAAUGAAUCACCAUAAAAAUGUAAGCUCUCUAUUGAAUAAAAUUACACACACAAAA